UACGGAGGAUGCGAGCGUUAUCCGGAUUUAUUGGGUUUAAAGGGUGCGCAGGCGGCACGGCAAGCCGGCGGUCAAAUCGCGGGGCUCAACCCCGCCCAGCCGUCGGAACUGCCGGGCUAGAGUGGGCGAGAAGUGCGCGGAAAGCGUGGUGUAGCGGUGAAAUGCAUAGAUAUCACGCAGAACUCCGAUUGCGAAGGCAGCGCACCGGCGCCCUACUGACGCUCAGGCACGAAAGCGUGGGUAUCGAACAGG
rnacentral:rRNA from 1 species